UACCAGCACCCCGAGUGGUCGGGACGAUUAUUGGGCCUAAAGCAUCCGUAGCCGGCCUUACAAGUCCUCCGUUAAAUCCAGCUGCUUAACAGAUGGGCUGCGGAGGAUACUAUAAGACUAGGAGGCAGGAGAGGCAAGCGGUACUCAGUGGGUAGGGGUAAAAUCCGUUGAUCCAUUGAAGACCACCAGUGGCGAAGGCGGCUUGCCAGAAUGCGCUCGACGGUGAGGAAUGAAAGCUGGGGGAGCAAACCGG
rnacentral:rRNA from 1 species